rnacentral:lncRNA from 1 species
UGAGGUCAAGAAUUUACAGACUUCACCUGCUCCAUUAUUGCUUUUAGGGAAUAGCCAGCAUGGCACAUAAAACUGUGGUACGUAUUCCUGUGCUAAUCACAGAAUCAUUGGGGCCUCGUCCAUCCUGACUCAAAUAAGACGUAAAUGAAUGAUGUUCUGAGUGGUGCAGUGAUGAGAGCCGUGAAACUUGGAGAGAGGGCACAGAGGCCAAGCACACUCCACCCAGAACUGCAGCAAACCGCAACCAUUUUAACUGAUGGAAAAGUCAUGGGACUGAUGCCAAGCAGCCUGGUUGCAUUUCACGACUUUUCCUUCCAUGGGCAAAGAAAUUGAAACAAACUGUUCCAGGAGCGGAAGAAAAGAAUAAAGUCUGGUUUGACACAGAUUUGGAUGUUCA